GAUGAACGCUGGCGGCGUGCCUAAUACAUGCAAGCCGAGCGAACAGAUGAGGAGCUUGCUCCUCUGACGUUAGCGGCGGACGGGUGAGUAACACGUGGAUAACCUACCUAUAAGACUGGGAUAACUUCGGGAAACCGGAGCUAAUACCGGAUAAUAUAUUGAACCGCAUGGUUCAAUAGUGAAAGACGGUUUUGCUGUCACUUAUAGAUGGAUCCGCGCCGCAUUAGCUAGUUGGUAAGGUAACGGCUUACCAAGGCAACGAUGCGUAGCCGACCUGAGAGGGUGAUCGGCCACACUGGAACUGAGACACGGUCCAGACUCCUACGGGAGGCAGCAGUAGGGAAUCUUCCGCAAAGGGCGAAAGCCUGACGGAGCAACGCCGCGUGAGUGAUGAAGGUCUUCGGAUCGUAAAACUCUGUUAUUAGGGAAGAACAAAUGUGUAAGUAACUAUGCACGUCUUGACGGUACCUAAUCAGAAAGCCACGGCUAACUACGUG
rnacentral:rRNA from 1 species